rnacentral:lncRNA from 1 species
UCCGCGUCGAUUUAAGAGAAAAGACUGGUGGUUACAACAACAAAAUGUUCAUAUUCUUCAUAUUUCAUAAUUUACCUUCAGUGUCGUUUUGUCAAGCAGACAAGCCUGCCUGUAUAUUACUACACUUUACAGCACUGCGAUUCGGGAGGGAGUAAUCGUCUUUCGCAAGGUACAUUGCCGUGUUAAAAAAGAAGAAUGUACGAAAAAAGGAGCAUUACUAUUUGCCUAGUUUCCCAUCAUCUUACAGGGAAAAAACGGUAUUUGUUGACCUUGACUAUGCCGGGGAGAAUCUUUUGAGCUUUCGAUCAAUGGUUUUGGGUCUAGUAAUCGUCAAUGUUGGCAUUCCGGAGCUUCUUCUGGGGUGGGAUUGAAGCCACGGAACUGAGACCUUCCUUCCCCAUUUGCUGCACUUCGACUGGUGACAGUAUCUUUAUGUACCAGACGUUAUUCACAAAUUCCCUGCAACGACAAGAGUAGAGAAUAUGAACUGCGAAUUCACGAACUACACGAUCCUAUACCCUGCGAGUUAUCAUGGAUUUUGUGCAAAACGGAGUAGAACCAAGUAAAGGCAUAACAAAGACAGUUAUGCAGGAAUUCUCACUGCCAAGGGUCGUCGCCAAGGAGAAGAACGUCAUUCUCCCGGUCAACAAAUACAAGCUGCCAGCCUGAUCUCUGAGGGUCCUCCAGUUGGCCUUCAAGCCCAAACAACCGAGCUAGCUCGACACGCAGUUCAUCAUAGCUGCUGAACGUCGAUAUGUCUAGCGAUCGCCCAAAGGACCCCGUUUUGUGAACCUGUCAACACGCAAGCGAAAGAGGAACACAAACAUGAAAAACAAACAGAUAACUAACUGCGGAACAAUAUACAAAAUGGAAGAAAACAACUACAGCAGGAUAUCAAAGUCAGAGAGAGAGCGAUUAUGAACGAAGACCUCAUGAAUGACAAAUAUAACUAGUUUCUACCACCGUUCAUCUGAAGCAACAUAAAAGCCGGUGAAUUUGAGAUGGCUUUAUUUCUGUUUUCUUAUGAUAUUGGUGGUUUACAGCAAGCAAACACUUUGCCGUUACAGAUCGGUUUUAAGCUAAAGAUGAGAAGACAGAGAAACAGGGGAUGCAAGGAAAGUCAGUAUUCAGUAACUUAAGCAGUCUCAAGGUUUUACUAGUAAGUGAAUAAGAAUUAUCUACAAGAGCCAGUAAGUUGCCAAUUUCGGCAUGCACAAGCAUACUUAAAGGACAUAAUAAAUGCAUACCUUCACAAAGGUUCUUGUUGGUGGAUUGACUUGGUCGACAUUUUCAGAAGACUGCAAGUAACCCGAUUCAUCCACACAACUUGAAGUAGUCAUAUCCGAGUUAAGUGGAAGCUCACUCCCAUUAGCAUUCGGAUAAGCAGAAGCGAAUGGCAUAGACAAUCGGUCACUUCCAUUGCCAAUACUUCUCAUAUGUCCCAUGCCAUGCUGGAGCAUAUAGGAUGAAGAAUCAAUGUUAAUCCCAAAUAAGGUGUUAUUUUGUUGAUCUGUAGUACCCUGGUAUGCUGAAUACUCCCUGCCUGGAAAUGGAGGUAACAAAGUAGCAUGCUCAGAUGCAUUUGACUGUGACAAAGCAUCCACCUUGGGCAGUGUGCAAUCUGCAAUACCGGGAGAAAAUCGUUGACCAUCUGCCACUUGCCUAGACAACAAUGUAGAAGAGAUUCCACCACCAUUUGACCCGUUCAGAUUAAACAUAUUGUUGGAUGCUCCAUCUCUCAUCAUUGAACCCAUCACACUGUGCAUCGAGGAAACAUUACCUGCAGCAACAGGAUUUACUACAGGCUCAGAAAAAGCUGGCUGCUGGGAUUGCAGAGAUGCAGAUUGAGACGGGUUAGCCGAUGUGUGAUGGGACAAAGAUGACACAACAUUGGAGGUCUGGUGCUGAGAAGAGGGUUGAUGCUGAGAAGAGAUCUGAUGCUGAGGAGAGGGUUGAUGCUGAGAAGAGGGUUGAUGCUGAGGAGAGGGUUGAUGCUGAGAAGAGGGUUGAUGCUGAGGAGAGGGUUGAUGCUGAGAAGAGGGUUGAUGCUGAGGAGAGGGUUGAUGCUGAGAAGAGGGUUGAUGCUGAGGAGAGGGUUGAUGCUGAGAAGAGGGUUGAUGCUGAGGAGAGGGUUGAUGCUGAGAAGAGGGUUGAUGCUGAGGAGAGGGUUGAUGCUGAGAAGAGGGUUGGUGCUGUUGCUGAGGUUGUUGAACCUGUCGUGACUGAGGUGGAGGAUGUUGAGGUUGCUUCUGUUGUUGCUGCAGAUCAUUAUACAUGGGAUGGCGCUGCAAUUGUUGGUGUAUAAGCUGUGCCUGAGUCGAAGCUUGGCUUUCUUGGAAGUUCUGAAGAAAAGCGUGCUGAAGAUUGGAAGAAGGCUGUAACAUCUCUCUCUGGAGCAAAGCACCAGGGUCAUUAGAUACAAUCUGUGACGGCUGGAACUGCAUAACCGAUUGAGAACCUAAUUUAGAAGAUUCCACAGCCCGCAUUUCCUGAAGGGCAGCGGCCGCCAUUGCCUGGUAAACAUCAGGUUGCAAAGCCUGAAUAGAAGCAUCAAGCCUUGGCUGAAGCCACGGAUUAACGCCAAAGCCCUGGAAGUUCAUAGAUUGCAUUCCCUGAUCCCCGAGUCCUUGAAGCCACAUCAAUUGAGAAUUUAUAUUAAAAUCCCUAUCCUUGAGACCUAAAUAAACAAAUAUUGGUAGUCGAGGAUCAGAAUCAGAUCCACAUUUCAACAAUUUUCCUACAACUUGAACAAUCUACAAGAGCAUACCAAAGGAUGGCAUGCCAGAUGGCCAAGGUCGCUUCAAUCUCAUAGGGAAUGGUGAUGGAUACAUAGGAAAUGUUGUUAAUGGUUCAAUCUCCCACAAGGAGACUCGUGGCUGCCUCUCCCCCGCAGUAGAUUCAUCCCAACCAACCUAUACAAUUAACAAUGGGUUCAACAUCCAGGAAAAAAGGUGCAGACUACUCCGAGGGAAAGAAGUGCAGACUACUGAAAUAAUCCCCCCCUUGAUAAAAUACUACGGAAAAGAUCAUAAUAUUCGAACAUAACCUUAACCGAACGCCAAUGUGAAUUUUGCCAACGAACAGGAUCUAGAUCACUGAUCCCAGUAAUGGUACCCAUGUAUCUGGAGGAAAAAAAUGCAGCUAAUCAGCAACUAUCCUAUACUAAGGAAAAUAUGGCGCCAAAAGCAACAAACAAAGAAAAACAUUGUACUUGCUCAAUAAGAAAAGGCACAAACAAUUAAGAGAGGACAAUGAUUAUGUCUGCAUUAAUAGUAAGCAAUACAGUUCAAUUCUUAUUCCAAGAAUAACCGACAUCUGAAGAGAAAUCUCAGAACAGCCUUUACUCGUAUAUUAAUAAUACUGGAAGAUAACACUGUACCAUUUAUUCCUGACAUUUGUCAUACAUAAAAAAUAAGACAUUAAAGUGAAGGGAAUUCAUGCUGUUAAAAUGAGAUCUUAUACAGACACGGAAAGAAAUCCAAUAGAAUUAAGAAUGACACAGAAAAAAUAAGUAGAAUCAAAGAGGCCGUGCCUGCACUUACCUCCGUACACUUGACUCUUCUGUCUCAAACAGCAUCCUAAAGCGCAUGCCAACAGAGACCCGUGUGUGGUAGACUGCUUUAACAUACUUGGCCAGCGGAAUAACAAACUCUGAAGGACUAGCUCUGAAUUGAGAACCACAGAUCACCCAAUCAGUACAAGCUACAAGAACGCAUUUAAUAUAUGUCCAUAAAGACAUGCAGACUUAUCACCUGGGGUUAAAGAAUAUAGUGAAACGACUGUUGGUAGCUGCUGCAUGAGCUGCAGCUGCAAGCAAGCCAAUGUGCAUGCUAUCACUUGAUAAAACAGAAGAAGGCAUGAAAGUUUGCGGGCGAUUAGCAUGUCGAAUUCCCAGGAGCAUUUGGUUCUUUUCAUUCCUGAUAAAGGACAAUUUGAUCAGCACAUCUUAUGCAGGAUGACAUACAGUACAUGAUUACUAAGAAAGACAUCAAGAUCAGCUGCAUAUACAAAUUACAAUGGUCCAUAAGCAAGUGUGGAUAUAUCCAGAGCAUAAAAAAUGUAUUGGCACGUUACAUAGAUAACGUCAAGUGACUCAGACAGAAUGUAAACGAGAAAAUCAAUGUAGACUUGAAAAAAGUUGGUUAGCCAGCGUGAGUAGCAAUUACAGUGCAUUUAUAUAAUAAAGAGACUUCAGUGGAGCAAUAUGAUAGAAACUAGCAAAUUGCACUUCAAGUCAGCAUCUCUAGAAGAGACUGAAAAAAAAGCAGCACCGUGGAGAAUGAAAAUCAUCCCUACCAGAUGAAAAUGACAGAAUCACCAGCAACAAGCCUCUUUGCACUGACAAACACGCUCCAUCCUGUUGUAAGCAGAUGCCUUUUCGGCUGCCCUGAAAAAUAUAAACAUUGAUGAUAAAAUUCAACAACGGUGUCCCUGAUGUAAUAGAAUAUCUAUGCCCUAUAAUAAAAACUAAUAACCAUGAUAAUUCUCCUUUGCAAAUUUUCCAAAUCCUUAACCAGAUCACAUCCUAAAAUUCUAUCUAAUUCCAAAAGGGCGUGAAAUGCUUUCACCACAUGCAACUCUUCCUGACUUUUUAUCUGUUAUAAAGUAAUGUUACUUAUCUUUUUGGGGGUACAAACUAACCUCGAAAGACAUGUCUGAAUUUCCACUCGUUAUCAUGAAGAUCUCUUGCAAUAAGUUCCUGACAAGGAGGAGUCUGAGAGUAAUCCUACAAGGCCAAGCAGUAGAAGCCAGCAGCCAGCAACAAACAACAUUAGAUACCCACUAGUUGACAAACAUAACAACAACAAAACAAGUAAAAACAGAACAAGUGACCUACAAGAGGAGGAAAGACUUUUUCAGCAGCACGACGAGGAACAGAAAAUCCCCCAUGAGUACUAGUGUCACUUGCAGUCAACGUUUUACAGAAGUAGUUGGUCGGCUGUUUGCUGGGAGCACCUAACUCUGCUGGCAAAAGAUAAACUUCCUUUUGCUCUUGCUGAAAAACAAAAGGCUCUUUGUCGGACCACAUAGUUGCAGAGGAGAAAGGAAAAGACGAGAAUCGAAAAUAAAUCAAACAAGUACCGGACUCAAGGGUUGCAAUGUCAUUUGAGCAUAGACUUCAUCGGUCUCGAUAUCUGACUGCACUUAGAACCAUUCAAACGUCAGCAACAUCAUUACGAGUUACGACACAACACAACUUAAUCAAAAGCACAGUAUAAUAAGUGAACGCACUCACAUGCAUGGUGACAUUGUGAAGCUGGCAUAUAAGCUGCGGUGGUAGGCUGGGAUAGUUGGGAAUAUGAGCGUCCACUUCCUUGUUAGUUGAAGCUGCAACCUGCAUAAGUAACCAUUGUUCAUUGAUUAAUGACCUAGGAACUGGUAGGGGAAAUCAUCCUUUGAACACUCAAUUAGAGAAACAAGCUAAAUCAGCGAUCAUCAAACGAUGAAAUGGAGAUGAAGAGAUGUGAAAACCCACCUGUUCGCUAUGACCUUGCGGGAAGUAAACGACUCGAGUUCCAAGAGUUGGCAAAGAGACAAGAGGUCCGGCGCAUGCAUGCCACAGCUCAGAAUUCAGACACUUGUUAUCACCUCCUAUGACAACGAAAACAGAGAAUAUAAUACGUAGUACAGCAUUUCAAACCCAAUUCAAUCUCUCAAGCUUUCACAUAAAAACAUUCGUAAAAGGAAAUACCAUAACCCCUACCUUCCUGAGCCUGCUGAUUGAACCCAGGGGAAGAGAGCCUCAUUCUUCAGUAAAACCACAACUCACAAACCGAAACAAACUCAACCCCAAACCCUAAUUAACCAACAGAAGAAGAAAAAAACUAACUAUUGCAGCAGCGGUAGUAGUUCUCUCUACUCUCAGCUAUCAGUUGGAGAUAAGGCUAGCUCCCGAAACUGAAGCACAUUUGAAGCAGAGCCCUCCCCCCUCCCCGCCUCAGCCCUAACCCCCGAAAUAAUAGAACCAGACAACUAAAAAAGCUGAAUCAAAUCAUCGGAAGCCACUUCCGGGAGAAGCAGCAGGGACUCAGCUCCAUACUACACCUUCUUCAGAUCUCUCUUCUCUCCUUCUUCAAGCUACCCGGUUCGUCGAAACCGCCAAUUUUCUUCAGAUCUCGAGCAGCUGCUGCUACUCCACUACGACUUGGACGGGAAAAGCAAGUAAGAAGCGGGGACAGCCUGGAGCAUAAACCAGGAUGAGUAGCUAGCUAGCUAGCGGAGGUGGAAAAUGGAGAGGUUUCUAUGGCGGUUUUUGAGUAGAUGUUUUCAGGCUUUUUCGGUUUCAGAGAAGCAAAAGAUAGGAAAGGCGUUGUUUCGAGGAAGAAGGAAGAAGAAGAGGAGAAGAGAGCACUUCCACUGUUGCACAAUUUGACAGAGGGAGAGAGAGAGAGAGAGAGAAGCAGUGGGCGUGUGUGUACUGUGUCCGAAUUUCGGGUAUUUCUUUUCCUUUUAUUUUUUAAUAUUUUAUUCUUCUUUUUUUGUACUUGCACGUCGGCUCUCGACCGGUUUUCGGUCUUUUUGGUUUGAUUCCUGGUUAACCAGAAUAAAACAACUGAAAAAAAUAAAUAAAUAUUUUCGAUUUACGGAUUUAUCUCGUAUUUCAAGUUUCAUAUCGUUCCCUCUUUCACUACCUCUUCUCUUUGCCAUUUUCUACGAAAGAUUUAUCUCCCUCAUACACUCGGCCAUCGCCUCGAACCAGUUGAAAGAAAUCCGCCUUAAUCGGCAUUGCCCCGAAGUCUCUCAUAUUCUCUUCGCUGAUGACACAUUCGCUCUCUACUCCUCGACCGACGACUAGGACUAUACCUCAGCUGGUGUCGGGCCUUAACUCAAAUAAUCGUUGGAACAUGAAGCUAUCAAAUGAACUCUUUUCGCCGGACUCUGUGUAUCGUUCCCUCUUUUACCUCUUCUCUUUGCCAUUUGCUACGAAGGAUUUAUCUCCCUCUUAAACUCCGCUAUCGCCUCGAAUCAGUUCAAAGGAAUCCACCUUAAUCGGCAUUGUUCGGAAGUCUCGCAUAUUCUCUUUGCUGAUGACACAUUCGGUCCCUACUCCUUGACUCACGAGUAGGAUUAUACCUCAUAUGGUGUCGGGACUUAACUCAAAUAAUCACUGGAAUAUGGAGCUAUUGAAUGAACUAUUUUCACUGGACUUGGUGUCUACAAUGUUGUCAAAUACGACGGAUCAUCAUUUAGUGACACGUGAGGUUCUUCGUUUGUGUAUUGACAAUUCAAAAGUAUCGGAUCCAAAUCCAGUCACAUACCGCAAACGGACAUCAGUUUCAGUUUUUGUUUUGGUUGACUUCAAAUUUAUUUCGAUGAACCAAAAACCAAAUCAUCUCCAUUCUCCACCUCUGCUGAUACGCGGGUUGCAACUUGCGAGUGAGAAUUGAAUAGACAAGCAGCUGGUGUUUAGUUUCAGAAGUUACCUACACUGUGCCAUUCACUCUCAAGUUCUGUAACAGUUAAGGCACUACUACAGCUACAUUUUACAACAAGGCAAUUUCCGGAGAGUUAUCGACAUGGAACAAACGUUUUUAGCAAGGUACAUUGCCGUGUUAAACAGGGUGCAUUGCCCAAGUCUGCAUAAUCUGAAGGGGGGAAAUGGUAUUUGUUGACCUUGGAGGUGACGGAGAACCCUUGGCGGGAUGCAUCAACUUUCGAGAUUGAUGGUGUUCGGUCUAGUAAUCGUCAAUUGUGGCGUUGCGAAGCUUCUUUUGGGGUGGGAUGGAAGCCGUGGAACCGAGACCUUCUUUCCCCAUUUGCUGCACUUCCGCUGGUGACAGUAUCUUAAUGUACCAGACACUAUUCACAAAUUCUCUGCAACAACAACAGAGUAGAGAAUGUAAGUUCCAC